UAUUGCAGAUUAGUGAAUAGGAGGCAGUUGGACUGAUGCAGCAAACUCAAGCAGUGAGAUGAGGAACAGGAUAUUCCUGGUGGUGGGCAGCAAGAAAGUGCCCGCUGGUCCUGCUCUGUUUGUCGUCAAGAAUGAGCUGCCUGGACUAGGAAUGUUUCCCAGACGGGAGGUGAGGAGCCAUUUGAAUGUAGCAGCAAAGCAUAAGCUCCUGAAGGAGAAAAAGAUAAAAGAAGAAAAAAAAAAAGAGAGAAAGAAGCAGAGCAACACAGGUGGUAGUGAAGGCACACUUCUAGCUUCUUGUAGAUUACUGCCUUGCUGCAGCUGCUUGCCGUACCUGCAACGGAUGGUUUUGCCUUGGUCAGACAAUAAUUCAACCAGCACCAUCAGGCUGUGUCGUUGCACCUCCCCAUGAAAUCCACCCUAGGCCCACACCGCUUGGAACUCGUUUCUGGCAGUGAUACCUCCAAUCCCUUGAAGAUGGCAAGGCAGGCAGGGUGCUACGACAACUCCUGAUUAUUUUAAUUCCAGCCAUUGUACCAUUGCUUUAUGUUUCUUCUCUCUGUCUGUUUGUAUCAACUUAUUAGUUGGACUGUAAGCAAUCUGGGCAGGCACCGUCUUGUCUUUCUGCGAUGUACAGCACCUAGCACAACUGGACUCUGAGCCCAAACCAGAACCCUGAGGGUGAUACCACAAUACAGAGAAUAAUUAAAAAGCUGUGCUCUCUUCCCAGAUGAGACACACUCCUGUAGUGUGUAAAUCAGUCACAGUCCUGGAGGAAUAAUCCAGGCAGGAUAAUUGCACGGGGGAAAGGCCCCAGGCAUGAUAGGGGUUUGCAUUAGCAAUGCCUUUUCAUCCAUCUGUCUUUUGACUGGAGCUAUAGAAGGCCAAAAUCUGACUUAUAAGGAUGUUUUGAUCAACUGAUUAUUCCACUGACAGAGCUCCUGAAGUCCCCACCAUAUACAAAAUAUCUUAUUUGUGUGCAGGAACAACCAAGAGCCCGAGACGGAAAGGCUUCCUUCUUCAAAGAUUUAUCUCUUUAGGACUUACCCAGUUCCCUUAUUAUCCUGGAGAUUUUGGCCAUUGGCUUGAUCAGGGGAAAAAUUUCACCUUGAGUGUUUAUCCACCGAAUAUAGUGGAAGCAGGCACAGACCAAAGAAGAAUUUGGCUCAGAGCAGGCAUAAAUUGAUAGAGUCUAUUGGCGUAUUAUUGUUAUUUAUUAAUUCAGCUACAGAGGAACUCAAGAGCCCUAGUCACGGUCAGCACUUUAUUGUGCUGUUCAAAUGCGUUAGGAGACCUGUCCCACACCUCUAGUCAUGAUAUGUCGUUAGGGAGAGGUAACGGUGAUGAAGACCAUCAGUACCAAAAAGUAUCCCAAGAAUGAAUGUGAAAGCAAUGCAAGGGCAAAUAUACUUGUCUUGCAGUCAGAUUCUAUUGCACAAAUCAUAUCUAAGUUAUGUGCUAAUAACGACGACUAUGCUGUUAACGAGUUUAUCUUAAAGUUUAGAAAAGGCAUUUUGGUGUGGUACAGGAGAAGGAGUCUAUACUGAACUCCACCUAUGUAUUUUCUUUUUAAUAUCAUCUAAACUUUAUUGAAGACUAUCCACAGAACUAAAAAUUGUUGGUAUUAACACUCUAGGGCAUCCUAUGUACCGAAGUCUCAAUUUCUUAUCCUGAAUACGUGUUCUGGCUGACAAAUUUUGGGGUGUUAUUUUGCCUUCUAGAUAUUCAGAUGUUCCUUUCACAUCAGGGAAUUUAAUUAACAGCUUUUGCAUGUAUUUAAAGCAAAAUAAACUUUCCCUGAUCCUCCUGAUGGCGAGGAGC
ensembl:lncRNA